rnacentral:rRNA from 1 species
AGUGAACGCUGGCGGUAGGCCUAACACAUGCAAGUCGAACGGCAGUACAGGAGAGCUUGCUCUCUGGGUGGCGAGUGGCGGACGGGUGGGGAAUACAUCGGAAUCUACUCUGUCGUGGGGGAUAACGUAGGGAAACUUACGCUAAUACCGCAUACGACCUACGGGUGAAAGCAGGGGACCUUCGGGCCUUGCGCGAUUGAAUGAGCCGAUGUCGGAUUAGGUAGUUGGCGGGGUAGAGGCCCAACAAGGCGACGAUCCGUAGCUGGUCUGAGAGGAUGAUCAGCCACACUGGAACUGAGACACGGUCCAGACUCCUACGGGAGGCAGCAGUGGGGAAUAUUGGACAAUGGGCGCAAGCCUGAUCCAGCCAUACCGCGUGGGUGAAGAAGGCCUUCGGGUUGUAAAGCCCUUUUGUUGGGAAAGAAAUCCAGCUGGCUAAUACCCGGUUGGGAUGACGGUACCCAAAGAAUAAGCACCGGCUAACUUCGUGCCAGCCGCCGCAGUAA